UACAGAGGGUGCUAGCGUUAAUCGGAUUUACUGGGCGUAAAGCGUGUGUAGGCGGUUUGUUAAGUCGGGUGUGAAAUCCCUGGGCUCAACCUGGGAAUUGCAUUCGAUACUGGCAAGCUAGAGUACGGUAGAGGGCGGCGGAAUUCCACGUGUAGCAGUGAAAUGCGUAGAGAUGUGGAGGAACACCGAUGGCGAAGGCAGCCCCCUGGGCUAACACUGACGCUCAUGCACGAAAGCGUGGGGAGCAAACAGG
rnacentral:rRNA from 1 species